ensembl:snRNA
GAAAAAGGCAUCUGUCGUGAGUGGCAAACAUAGGGCAGCUCGAUUGCUUUUCACGUGGAAUCGACAUCAAGAGAUUUUGGAAGUCUAAUUAUUUGGUGUUUGGGCAGCUGGAGAUUGUUGGUCCUGGUGCCUGU